UACGAAGGGGGCUAGCGUUGCUCGGAAUCACUGGGCGUAAAGGGUGCGUAGGCGGUUUGGUAAGUCUUAUGUGAAAUCUACAGGCUCAACUUGUAGUCUUCAUGAGAAACUGCCGGGCUUGAGUAUGGGAGAGGUGAGUGGAAUUCCUGGUGUAGCGGUGAAAUGCGUAGAUAUCAGGAGGAACACCUGUGGUGUAGACAGCUUUCUGGACCAUUGCUGACGCUGAGACACGAAAGCGUGGGUAGCAAACAGG
rnacentral:rRNA from 1 species